rnacentral:rRNA from 1 species
CGCGGCCUAUCAGCUUGUUGGUGAGGUAGUGGCUUACCAAGGCGACGACGGGUAGCCUGCCUGAGAGGGUGACCGGCCACACUGGGACUGAGACACGGCCCAGACUCCUACGGGAGGCAGCAGUGGGGAAUAUUGCACAAUGGGCGCAAGCCUGAUGCAGCGACGCCGCGUGAGGGAUGAAGGCCUUCGGGUUGUAAACCUCUUUCGUCAGGGAAGAAGCGAAAGUGACGGUACCUGAAGAAGAAGCACCGGCUAACUACGUGCCAGCAGCCACGGUAAUACGUAGGGUGCGAGCGUUGUCCGGAAUUAUUGGGCGUAAAGAGCUUGUAGGCGGUUUGUCGCGUCUGCCGUGAAAACCUAGGGCUUAACUCUGGGCGUGCGGUGGGUACGGGCAGGCUAGAGUGUGGUAGGGGAGACUGGAAUUCCUGGUGUAGCGGUGAAAUGCGCAGAUAUCAGGAGGAACACCGAUGGCGAAGGCAGGUCUCUGGGCCAUAACUGACGCUGAGAAGCGAAAGCAUGGGGAGCGAACAGGAUUAGAUACCCUGGUAGUCCGUGCCGUAAACGUUGGGCGCUAGGUGUGGGGCUCAUUCCACGAGUUCUGUGCCGCAGCUAACGCAUUAAGCGCCCCGCCUGGGAGUACGG